AGGAUGAACGCUGGCGGCGUGCUUAACACAUGCAAGUCGAACGGUGAAGGAGGAGCUUGCUCCUCUGGAUCAGUGGCGAACGGGUGAGUAACACGUGAGUAACCUGCCCCAGACUCUGGGAUAAGCGUUGGAAACGACGUCUAAUACCGGAUACGAGCUUCAGCCGCAUGGCUAGGAGCUGGAAAGAAUUUCGGUCUGGGAUGGACUCGCGGCCUAUCAGGUAGUUGGUGAGGUAAAGGCCCACCAAGCCUACGACGGGUAGCCGGCCUGAGAGGGUGACCGGCCACACUGGGACUGAGACACGGCCCAGACUCCUACGGGAGGCAGCAGUGGGGAAUAUUGCACAAUGGGCGCAAGCCUGAUGCAGCAACGCCGCGUGAGGGACGACGGCCUUCGGGUUGUAAACCUCUUUAGUAGGGAGAAGCGAAAGUGACGGUACCUGCAGAAGAAGCACCGGCCAACUACGUGCCAGCAGCCGC
rnacentral:rRNA from 1 species